rnacentral:tRNA from 1 species
GCCGCCAKGGUGAAAUUGGUAGACACGCUGCU